CCUACGGGGGGCAGCAGUGAGGAAUAUUGGUCAAUGGACGAGAGUCUGAACCAGCCAAGUAGCGUGAAGGAUGACUGCCCUAUGGGUUGUAAACUUCUUUUAUAUGGGAAUAAAAUGUUCCACGUGUGGGAUUUUGUAUGUACCAUAUGAAUAAGGAUCGGCUAACUCCGUGCCAGCAGCCGCGGUAAUACGGAGGAUCCGAGCGUUAUCCGGAUUUAUUGGGUUUAAAGGGAGCGUAGGUGGAUUGUUAAGUCAGUUGUGAAAGUUUGCGGCUCAACCGUAGAACUGCAGUUGAAACUGGCAGUCUUGAGUGCGGUAGAGGUGGGCGGAAUUCGUGGUGUAGCGGUGAAAUGCUUAGAUAUCACGAAGAACUCCGAUUGCGAAGGCAGUUCACUGGACUGCAACUGACACUGAGGCUCGAAAGUGUGGGUAUCAAACAGGAUUAGAUACCCUGGUAGUC
rnacentral:rRNA from 1 species